rnacentral:rRNA from 1 species
UCCGUAGGUGAACCUGCGGAAGGAUCAUUGUCGAAUCCUGCCCAGCAGACGACCGCGAACAAGUUCGAAAAACACGGGUUGCAGGGCGGGCUUGGGAAACCUCGCCCGUCGGCGCCCUCUAAAAACUAAACUCUCGGCGCGGAAUGCGCCAAGGACCACUCAAAAUGGAUGCCUGCAUCUCUGCGGAUUCCGCGGGGUGUGCUAGGCGCCUGAUCGCUAAACAAAAAGACUCUCGGCAACGGAUAUCUAGGCUCUCGCAUCGAUGAAGAACGUAGCGAAAUGCGAUACUUGGUGUGAAUUGCAGAAUCCCGUGAACCAUCGAGUUUUUGAACGCAAGUUGCGCCCGAAGCCAUUAGGCUGAGGGCACGUCUGCCUGGGCGUCACGCAUCUAGUCGCCACUCCCUCCCAACGUUACGUUACGGAGAAGAGUGACGAAUGUUGGCCUCCCGUGUCCUCGAGCCGCGGCUGGCCUAAAUUCGAGUCUUCGGCGCGAAACGUCACGACAAGUGGUGGUUGAACUCCUCAACUCGUGCGCUGUCGUGACCACGCCUGACGCGAACUCAAUCGACCCUCCAGCCCUCGAACACAAAAUUGAGUUGAGGGCUUUCGACCGCGACCCCAGGUCAGGCGGGAUUACCCGCCUGAGUUUAAGCAUAUCCAUAAGC